GGGCAAAUAGUGUAGUUGGUUAUCGCGCCCGCUUCGCAUAUGUUGUUACCACGUGACAUGAUUACGUAAUCAUGCGGGAGGUGCUGGGUUCAAUUCCCAGUUUGUCCA